rnacentral:rRNA from 1 species
UACAGAGGUCCCAAGCGUUGUUCGGAUUCACUGGGCGUAAAGGGUGCGUAGGUGGUGAGGUAAGUCGGAUGUGAAAUCUCCGGGCUCAACCCGGAAACUGCAUUGGAAACUACCUUGCUUGAGGAUUUGAGGGGGGAUUGGAAUACUUGGUGUAGCAGUGAAAUGCGUAGAUAUCAGGAGGAACACCAAUUGCGAAGGCAGCUCGCUGGGACGUUACUGACGCUGAGACGCGAAAGCGUGGGGAGCAAACAGG